GCGGCGUGCUUAACACAUGCAAGUCGAGCGAUGAAGCACCUUCGGGUGUGAAUUAGCGGCGAACGGGUGAGGAACACGUGAAGAAUCUUGCCUUCAACUCUGGGAUAACUCCGGGAAACCGGGGCUAAUACCGGAUAUGAGCCUUGAUCGCAUGAUCGGGGCUGGAAAGUUUUUCGGUUGAAGAUGACUUCGCGGCCUAUCAGCUUGUUGGUGAGGUAAUGGCUCACCAAGGCGACGACGGGUAGCCGGCCUGAGAGGGCGACCGGCCACACUGGGACUGAGACACGGCCCAGACUCCUACGGGAGGCAGCAGUGGGGAAUAUUGGGCAAUGGAGGAAACUCUGGCCCAGCGACGCCGCGUGAGGGAUGAAGGCCUUCGGGUUGUAAACCUCUUUCAGUAGGGAAGAAGCGAAAGUGACGGUACCUACAGAAGAAGCACCGGCUAACUAUGUGCCAGCAGACGCGGUAAUACAUAGGGUGCAAGCGUAGUCCGGAAUUAUUGGGC
rnacentral:rRNA from 1 species